UACGGAGGGUGCAAGCGUUAUCCGGAUUCACUGGGUUUAAAGGGUGCGUAGGUGGGGUGGUAAGUCAGUGGUGAAAUCUCCGAGCUUAACUUGGAAACUGCCAUUGAUACUAUCAUUCUUGAAUAUUGUGGAGGUCAGCGGAAUAUGUCAUGUAGCGGUGAAAUGCUUAGAUAUGACACAGAACACCGAUUGCGAAGGCAGCUAGCUAAACCGAUAUUGACGCUGAGGCACGAAAGUGUGGGGAUCAAACAGG
rnacentral:rRNA from 1 species